CUCAAAAUAAUUUUUAAGGAAACUGUACGGGUACAGAUAAAGUAAAAGUGAUUUGUGAACUGUUGUGCAACUGGAUGUAACAUGUUUGUCUGUGGGACAGAAGGGCUGCAGCUAAAAGUGAGGCAUGCAUCUGCAAUGGUUAAAAUUCAGAAUCACCAUGGAAACAAAUCCACAGGUGGGAAUCCAUGAGAUAAAUCAUUCCCCCAGGAGCAGAAAGCCACACUAUCAAACCUCCUGGGAAGACACAGCAGCAGCAGCAGCUUUGCCACUGCCGUUAUCACCAGGAUGCCCAGAACUGGAGUGUCUGAUACAGAAGUGAAAGGCCUGUGGACACACAUUUCACACACCUGUGGUCCCUGUGCUCCAGCCACCCUUGGAACUGAAGCCUAGCUGGCCAACAGAGCCUCAUGGUACCUGUGUGGUGUCAUCCCAUCAAGCACCUCUGGCAGAGCCACCCCUCCUCACUUGGAUCCUCUUUACCCCAACACCACCCCCCUAACUAAGAGAUCACUGGACUUUGCUCUGCUCCAUUAUCUAAAAAGCUGUGUGAUGUCUCCUGGAACAGGAGGAGCUUCGAACAAAAGGUGCUAAUUCUGGAAGUCAGAGGGAAAGUUCCAGCUGGAAGGCUGAUUGGGUUACACUGACAUUUAUUCUUGGAAAAACCCUCCUCUGACUGGAGUCACCAAGGUUGUGAAUUGCAUCACAGAACUCCAGGGGCACCAUUCAGAACAAAGGCUUGUUAAAUCUCUCCUCUCAAGUUAGAGUAUGGACCUGUCCAACUACACCCAGCAGCCUGAUUGUAACAUACACCCAGCCCUUUAUCUCAGCAAGCUCUCUAGAGACAGAAAGCAAACCCAUCUUAUUCCCAGUUCACUGGUCUGUAGAGCAGCACACAGCUUCAUGGAUUUGGGGUAGACUUCCAUCACAUUAAACUGCAGCUCCUUGACAAUGGAAUUAAUACCUGGAAAGCACUUAAAAUCUGGUGGUUUUUUUUUUUUUUAAUCUUGUUGGC
rnacentral:lncRNA from 1 species